rnacentral:lncRNA from 1 species
CCAAAGAAUGUGGAUUGAGUUAACUAUCAUGGUUCAAGAAGAGCUUCUAACACUUGCUGUUGAUCUAGGGUUCUGUGAGCAGGUCAAGGGUGCCUGGAUAACAUGUCUCCUUCCCUGUAAGCAAACAUCCUCUCAGGUUGCAACAUCCUUCACUGGCUAGCGGCAACCUGUGUUUUUCAAGGUGGUAAGAGAUGUCACUUCUACCUUCCUUCAAUUUUGCUUCAAGAUGCAAAGACCCUUCCCUGAGUCAAAACUCAGGUAGACACCUCCCACCUAUAGAGGGAAGCUCUGGUUGUGUUCUUUCAGCAAGUCUCUCCUCUGCUCAGCUCUUCAUAGCUGUGGAGAUGCAAGGAAAGAACAAAAGUCUUGUUACCUGAAAUGUAUCACUGUGAUUUUUUUUCUAAGGUGGUGGGCUAGUAUUUGAAGCCAUUUAAAAGCCAUAUUCUUUCUGUCUCUCACUCCUUGCAUGGCAGUCACCACAUUGGUGACAUCUUCUUGGGUGCCUGUGGUCUUGCCUUCCUUAGUCUUCCACAUUCUAUGAAGGUAUCUAAUUGGCAUCCCCUUCUGUUUUUGUUUGUUUGUUUGUUUUGUUUUCCCACUAGGCAAAAUGAAGAAGCCAGUGCUAAGGUGAAGGUGAGACUGUAUUGAACUACAGAGGAGCAGAAGGUCACAUGGCUGGAUUUCCUUAAUGUGUAAGUCUAGAAACCACCACAGACAGAGCAUUUUCAGAUGAUAUUACCCUGGAAUCCUUUAAUGAAAAUUUCAUGUUAUGUAUACUGCCUUUAUUGGGAUUCAUCUGCAUUUGAAGAUACUGGCCUUAUGU